rnacentral:misc_RNA from 1 species
UUUCCGUAGGUGAACCUGCGGAAGGAUCAUUAACGUAUAACCGAUGUACGAGUGCUUUCGCUGACCCGAUAGGGCGUGCAGGCCCGAUUGCGCUCACACACAUCCAACACACCCCUAUGUACACCGCGGCGUCGGUCCCGCUAAGGCUUGUUCUGAGAGCGGCUUACGUUUUUACUCGAACUUAGUUUUCAGUGUAGAAUGUUUUUUGUUUUUUUUCGAUCACCGAGGCAAAACAACCUUCAACAAUGGAUCUCUUGGCUCUCUCAUCGCUGAAGAACG